rnacentral:rRNA from 1 species
UACGGGGGGGGCAAGCGUUGUUCGGAUUUACUGGGCGUAAAGGGCGCGUAGGCGGCGUGGUAAGUCACUUGUGAAAUCUCUGAGCUUAACUCAGAACGGCCAAGUGAUACUGCUGUGCUAGAGUGCAGAAGGGGCAAUCGGAAUUCUUGGUGUAGCGGUGAAAUGCGUAGAUAUCAAGAGGAACACCUGAGGUGAAGACGGGUUGCUGGGCUGACACUGACGCUGAUGCGCGAAAGCCAGGGGAGCAAACGGG